CCUUCCACGAUGAUUGUAAGUUUCCUGAGGCCUCCCCAGCCAUGCAGAACUCACUACGACACUGAUUUUUGUUGGGAACGAGAAGUCGAAAAUACACAGCUUCUGAGAUUAAAAGACAAAAUUCUAGAAAUGGAAACAUGUAGGCAAGUUCCAGACACCCUUCUGGCUUUAUUGGCUAUGAAGCUUUAGCAAGUUACAACAUUGUCUAAGGAGACCCUGGGGACACCAGGUGACAAGAGAGAAAACACGGAAAACCUAAACU
rnacentral:lncRNA from 1 species